ACUGAGGUCUCCUCUUAUAGCUUACUCUUCCUCCGUCUUCCCGACUUCUCUCUGCGGCGCUGACUCUCUUUCUUCUCGUUUGCUCUCUCUCUUCCCGUCUUUGCUCUUUCGUCGACCACGGACCACCCUUCGCCUUCGGUCUUCCAUCUUCGCCCUUCGGUCUUCACUCUUCCUUCUUCCCGUUUCACUCUUCCCGUCUGCUCUCUUGCUGUCUUCCUUCUUCCUUCGACCACGACAACCAGACCAAACCUGAGGCUGAGGGCACUUGCUGUCUUGCUGAGUUGUUGUCUUCCAACUGCUCUCUCUCUUCCAUUGUUGCUGCCUUCUCUCGCCGCCACCGGCCCACCACUGCUGCCUUCUCUCGCUGCCGCUGCUGCUGUUGCUGCCUUCUUUGUUUUGCUGCUUCCGCCUUCACGCCAGAAAUCACUGCUGCAGCUGCCUCAGUAGCAUCGGUUGCCCCUCUCGCUCUUGCUGUAGCUCAUGCUCCCGCCUUCGCAACAACCAUGCGACCCUGGAGCUGCUGGAUAUACAAUCAAGGAGGCAGUAUCUCUGGUUAGAAGCAUGAUUCCAGGACAGCGAGCUCUUGCUUUGCAACUUUCGACUGUCAAGCUCUUUGGGCUUACGCUAUUGGUCCAGAACCAGAACUGAUUUAUCUUUAAG